AGUCCUGUAGCUCAACGGUAGAGUGCUUGCCUUACAAGCAAGAUGUUAUCGGUUCAAAUCCGAUCGGGACUA
rnacentral:tRNA from 2 species